rnacentral:lncRNA from 1 species
GACUGGAAGGCUCAGGCAGCCCAGGACGAAUAGUGCAGUCACCGCAGAGGGGCAGGGCGGCUACAAGGUG